GGAAGGAUGCCGGAGUGGUCUAACGGGGUGGUCUCGAAAACCACUGUCCCCUCACGGGGACCGCAGGUUCGAAUCCUGCUCCUUCCG
rnacentral:tRNA from 1 species